ensembl:lncRNA
UUCAAUCAGUGACUACCACACCAUCACCACCAUCACCCUCAUCACCACCAGCAUCACCAUCACCACCACCACCAUCACUACCACCAUCACCACCACCACCACCAUCAUCACCACCAUCACCAUCACCACCACCACCAUCACCACCACCACCACCACCAUCAUCACCACCAUCACCAUCACCACCACCACCAUCACUACCACCAUCAGCACCACCACCAUCACCACCACCAUCACCACCACCACCAUCACUACCACCAUCACCACCACCGCCACCAUCAUCACCACCACCACCACCAUCACUACCACCAUCACCACCACCACCACCACCAUCACCACCACCACCACCAUCACCACCACCAUCACUACCACCAUCACCACCACCAUCACCACCAACACCAUCACCACCACCAUCAUUACCACCACCACCACCACCACCAUCAUCACCACCAUCACCAUCACCACCACCACCAUCACUACCACCAUCACCACCACCGCCACCAUCAUCACCACCAUCACCAUCACCACCACCACCAUCACCACCACCACCACCACCAUCAUCACCACCAUCACCAUCACCACCACCACCAUCACUACCACCAUCAGCACCACCACCAUCACCACCACCAUCACCACCACCACCAUCACUACCACCAUCACCACCACCGCCACCAUCAUCACCACCACCACCACCAUCACUACCACCAUCACCACCACCACCACCACCAUCACCACCACCACCACCAUCACCACCACCAUCACUACCACCAUCACCACCACCAUCACCACCAACACCAUCACCACCACCAUCAUUACCACCACCACCACCACCACCAUCAUCACCACCAUCACCAUCACCACCACCACCAUCACUACCACCAUCACCACCACCGCCACCAUCAUCACCACCAUCACCAUCACCACCACCACCAUCACCACCACCACCACCACCAUCAUCACCACCAUCACCAUCACCACCACCACCAUCACUACCACCAUCAGCACCACCACCAUCACCACCACCAUCACCACCACCACCAUCACUACCACCAUCACCACCACCGCCACCAUCAUCACCACCACCACCAUCACUACCACCAUCACCACCACCACCACCACCAUCACCACCACCACCACCAUCACCACCACCAUCACUACCACCAUCACCACCACCAUCACCACCAACACCAUCACCACCACCAUCAUUACCACCACCACCACCACCACCAUCAUCACCACCAUCACCAUCACCACCACCACCAUCACUACCACCAUCACCACCACCGCCACCAUCAUCACCACCAUCACCAUCACCACCACCACCAUCACUACCACCAUCAGCACCACCACCAUCACCACCACCACCAUCACCAUCACCACCACCACCAUCACCACCACCACCACCACCAUCAUCACCACCAUCACCAUCACCACCACCACCAUCACUACCACCAUCACCACCACCGCCACCAUCAUCACCACCACCACCACCAUCACUACCACCAUCACCACCACCACCACCAUCACCACCACCACCACCAUCACCACCACCAUCACUACCACCAUCACCACCACCAUCACCACCAACACCAUCACCACCACCAUCAUUACCACCACCACCACCACCACCAUCAUCACCACCAUCACCAUCACCACCACCACCAUCACUACCACCAUCACCACCACCGCCACCAUCAUCACCACCAUCACCAUCACCACCACCACCAUCACCACCACCAUCAGCACCACCACCACCACCAUCAUCACCACCAUCACCAUCACCACCACCACCAUCACUACCACCAUCACCACCACCGCCACCAUCAUCACCACCAUCACCAUCACCACCACCACCAUCACUACCACCAUCAGCACCACCACCAUCACCACCACCACCAUCACCACCACCAUCACUACCACCACCACCACCAUCACCAUCACCACCACCACCAUCACUACCACCAUCACCACCACCGCCACCAUCAUCACCACCACCACCACCAUCACUACCACCAUCACCACCACCACCACCACCAUCACCACCACCACCACCAUCACCACCACCAUCACUACCACCAUCACCACCACCAUCACCACCACCGCCACCAUCAUCACCACCACCACCACCAUCACUACCACCAUCACCACCACCACCACCACCACCGCCAUCAUCACCACCACCACCACCGCCAUCACCACCACCACCAUCACCACCACCAUCACCACCACCACCACCACCAUCAUCACCACCACCACGACCACCAUCACCACCACCACCGCCAUUAUCACCACCACCACCACCACCAUCACCACCACCACCACCAUCACCACCACCACCAUCACCACCACCACCACCAUCACCACCACCACCGCAUCAUCACCACCACCGCCAUCAUCACCACCACCACGACCACCAUCACCACCAUCACCAUCACCACCACCACCACCACCAUCAUCACCACCACCACGACCACCAUCACCACCACCACCGCUGCCAUCAUCACCACCACCACCACCAUCAUCACCACCACCACCACCAUCACCAUCACCACCACCACCACCACCAUUACCACCACCACCACCAUCAUCACCAUCACUAUCAAAAAGAAUGAAGUUUUAUAAACUAAUGUGGAAAAAGUAUCCAGACAUAUUAUCAAAUGGGGGGAAAACUCCAAAAGUCCAGGUACAGAGCAAUGUGUGCACAAUACACUAUUCCUGGUUUUAAAAGGAGGGCAGUAGAAGAAAAUGG